UACAGAGGUGCCAAGCGUUAGGCGGAAUCACUGGGCUUAAAGCGCGCGUAGGCGGAUGUUUAAGUGUCUUGUGAAAUCCCACGGCUCAACCGUGGAACUGCUGGGCAUACUGGACAUCUCGAGGCACUCAGGGGCGAGCGGAACAAGUGGUGGAGCGGUGAAAUGCGUAGAGAUCCGGAGGAACACCGACGGCGUAGGCAGCGCCCUAGACGAGACCUGACGCUCAGGCACGAAAGCGCGGGGAGCGAACAGG
rnacentral:rRNA from 1 species